CCACUUCGGUGGGGAUUAGUGGCGAACGGGUGAGUAACACGUGGGCAAUCUGCCCUUCACUCUGGGACAAGCCCUGGAAACGGGGUCUAAUACCGGAUAACACUUCCACUCGCAUGGGUGGAGGUUAAAAGCUCCGGCGGUGAAGGAUGAGCCCGCGGCCUAUCAGCUUGUUGGUGAGGUAAUGGCUCACCAAGGCGACGACGGGUAGCCGGCCUGAGAGGGCGACCGGCCACACUGGGACUGAGACACGGCCCAGACUCCUACGGGAGGCAGCAGUGGGGAAUAUUGCACAAUGGGCGAAAGCCUGAUGCAGCGACGCCGCGUGAGGGAUGACGGCCUUCGGGUUGUAAACCUCUUUCAGCAGGGAAGAAGCGAAAGUGACGGUACCUGCAGAAGAAGCGCCGGCUAACUACGUGCCAGCAGCCGCGGUAAUACGUAGGGCGCAAGCGUUGUCCGGAAUUAUUGGGCGUAAAGAGCUCGUAGGCGGUCUGUCGCGUCGGAUGUGAAAGCCCGGGGCUUAACCCCGGGUCUGCAUUCGAUACGGGCAGACUAGAGUGUGGUAGGGGAGAUCGGAAUUCCUGGUGUAGCGGUGAAAUGCGCAGAUAUCACGAGGAACACCGGUGGCGAAGGCGGAUCUCU
rnacentral:rRNA from 1 species